rnacentral:rRNA from 1 species
AGAGCGAACGCUGGCGGCAGGCCUAACACAUGCAAGUCGAGCGCCCCGCAAGGGGAGCGGCAGACGGGAGAGUAACACGUGGGAACGUACCCUUUGGUUCGGAACAACACAGGGAAACUUGUGCUAAUACCGGAUAAGCCCUUACGGGGAAAGAUUUAUCGCCAAAGGAUCGGCCCGCGUCUGAUUAGCUUGUUGGUGAGGUAACGGCUCACCAAGGCUACGAUCAGUAGCUGGUCUGAGAGGAUGAUCAGCCUCACUGGGACUGAGACACGGCCCAGACUCCUACGGGAGGCAGCAGUGGGGAAUAUUGGACAAUGGGCGCAAGCCUGAUCCAGCCAUGCCGCGUGGAUGAUGAAGGCCUUAGGGUUGUAAAGUCCUUUUAACGGGGAAGAUAAUGACGGUACCGUAGAAUAAGCCCCGGCUAACUUCGUGCCAGCAGCCGC